rnacentral:tRNA from 1 species
GGGGCUAUAGCUCAGUGGCAGAGCGCUUGCUUCACAUGCAUGAGGCACUAGGUUCAAUCCUAAGCACCA